GACGAACGCUGGCGGCGUGCUUAACACAUGCAAGUCGAACGGAAAGGCCCUGCUUUUGUGGGGUGCUCGAGUGGCGAACGGGUGAGUAACACGUGAGUAACCUGCCCUUGACUUUGGGAUAACUUCAGGAAACUGGGGCUAAUACCGGAUAGGAGCUCCUGCUGCAUGGUGGGGGUUGGAAAGUUUCGGCGGUUGGGGAUGGACUCGCGGCUUAUCAGCUUGUUGGUGGGGUAGUGGCUUACCAAGGCUUUGACGGGUAGCCGGCCUGAGAGGGUGACCGGCCACAUUGGGACUGAGAUACGGCCCAGACUCCUACGGGAGGCAGCAGUGGGGAAUAUUGCACAAUGGGCGGAAGCCUGAUGCAGCAACGCCGCGUGCGGGAUGACGGCCUUCGGGUUGGAAACCGCCUUCGCCUGUGACGAAGCGUGAGUGACGGUAAUGGGUAAAGAAGCACCGGCUAACUACGU
rnacentral:rRNA from 1 species